GAUGAACGCUAGCUACAGGCUUAACACAUGCAAGUCGCAGGGUAACAUGAGGAAAGCUUGCUUUCCUUGAUGACGACUGGCGCACGGGUGAGUAACGCGUAUCCAACCUUCCCAUAACUACGGGAUAACCCGUUGAAAGACGACCUGAUACCGUAUGAUAUCGUUUGCUGACAUCAAAUAACGAUUAAAGGUUUAGCGGUUAUGGAUGGGGAUGCGUCUGAUUAGCUUGUUGGCGGGGUAACGGCCCACCAAGGCGACGAUCAGUAGGGGUUCUGAGAGGAAGGUCCCCCACAUUGGAACUGAGACACGGUCCAAACUCCUACGGGAGGCAGCAGUGAGGAAUAUUGGUCAAUGGGCGAGAGCCUGAACCAGCCAAGUAGCGUGCAGGACGACGGCCCUAUGGGUUGUAAACUGCUUUUAUGUGGGGAUAAAGUGCGUGACGUGUCAUGCAUUGCAGGUACCACAUGAAUAAGGACCGGCUAAUUCCGUG
rnacentral:rRNA from 1 species